rnacentral:rRNA from 1 species
GAACGCUGGCGGCGUGCUUAACACAUGCAAGUCGAGCGGAAAGGCCCUUCGGGGUACUCGAGCGGCGAACGGGUGAGUAACACGUGAGCAACCUGCCCUAGGCUUUGGGAUAACCCCGGGAAACCGGGGCUAAUACCGAAUAUGACUUGACCUCGCAUGGGGUUGGGUGGAAAGUUUUUCGGCCUGGGAUGGGCUCGCGGCCUAUCAGCUUGUUGGUGGGGUGAUGGCCUACCAAGGCGACGACGGGUAGCCGGCCUGAGAGGGCGACCGGCCACACUGGGACUGAGACACGGCCCAGACUCCUACGGGAGGCAGCAGUGGGGAAUAUUGCACAAUGGGCGGAAGCCUGAUGCAGCGACGCCGCGUGAGGGAUGACGGCCUUCGGGUUGUAAACCUCUUUCAGCAGGGACGAAGCGUAAGUGACGGUACCUGCAGAAGAAGCGCCGGCCAACUACGUGCCAGCAGCCGCGGUAAGACGUAGGGCGCGAGCGUUGUCCGGAUUUAUUGGGCGUAAAGAGCUCGUAGGCGGC